rnacentral:rRNA from 1 species
CCUACGGGAGGCAGCAGUGGGGGAUAUUGCACAAUGGGGGGAACCCUGAUGCAGCGACGCCGCGUGGGUGAAGGAGUGCUUCGGCAUGUAAAGCACUAUCGGCAGGGAAGAAGCAAGAAGGUACCUGACUAAGAAGCACCGGCUAACUACGUGCCAGCAGCCGCGGUAAUACGCAGGGGGCGAGCGUUACCCGGAUUCACUGGGUGUAAGGGGAGCGUAGACGGCCAAGCAAGCCAGGGGUGAAAGCCCGGGGCCCAACCCCGGGACUGCCCUUGGGACUGGAUGGCUGGAGUGCGGGAGGGGCAGGCAGAAUUCCUUGUGUAGCGGUGAAAUGCGUAGAGAUGAGGAGGAACACCGGCGGCGAAGGUGGCCUGCUGGACCGCGACUGACGUUGAGGCUCGAAAGCGUGGGGAGCGAACAGGAUUAGAUACCCUUGUAGUC